AUACGUAGGUGGCAAGCGUUGUCCGGAAUUAUUGGGCGUAAAGCGCAUGUAGGCGGUUUGGUAAGUCGGUCGUGAAAAUGCGGUGCUUAACGCCGUAUGGCGAUUGAAACUGCUGAACUUGAGUGCAGGAGAGGAAAGGGGAACUCCCAGUGUAGCGGUGAAAUGCGUAGAUAUUGGGAAGAACACCGGUGGCGAAGGCGCCUUUCUGGACUGUGUCUGACGCUAGGAUGCGAAAGCCAGGGUAGCGAACGGGAUUAGAUACCCCGGUAGUCCUGGCCGUAAACGAUGGGUACUAGGUGUGGGAGGUAUCGACUCCUUCCGUGCCGGAGUUAACGCAAUAAGUACCCCGCCUGGGGAGUACGGCCGCAAGGCUUAAACUCAAAUGAAUUGACGGGG
rnacentral:rRNA from 1 species